rnacentral:rRNA from 1 species
AGAGUUUGAUCCUGGCUCAGGAUGAACGCUGGCGGCGUGCCUAAUACAUGCAAGUCGAACGAGGUGCUUUUGUAGCAAUACGAGAGUAUCCUAGUGGCGAACGGGUGAGUAACGCGUUGGUGACCUACCCCAAAGUGUGGGAUAACAGUCCGAAAGGAUUGCUAAUACCGCAUGUGGUUAUUGGAUUUAGAAACUGAUAACUAAAGGAGCAAUUCGCUUUGGGAGGGACCUGCGUCCCAUCAGCUAGUUGGUGAGGUAAUGGCUCACCAAGGCUACGACGGGUAGGGGACCUGAGAGGGUGACCCCCCACAAUGGAACUGAAACACGGUCCAUACACCUACGGGUGGCAGCAGUAGGGAAUAUUGCACAAUGGGCGAAAGCCUGAUGCAGCAACGCCGCGUGCACGAUGAAGGCCUUCGGGUCGUAAAGUGCUUUUCUGGGAGAUGAGAAAGGACAGUAUCUCAGGAAUAAGUCUCGGCUAACUACGUGCCAGCAGCCGCGGUAAAACGUAGGAGGCGAGCGUUAUCCGGAUUCACUGGGCGUAAAGCGCGUGCAGGUGGCUUGGUAAGUUAGGCGUGAAAUCUCCCGGCUCAACUGGGAGAGGUCGUCUAAUACUACCGGGCUAGAGAGCAGAAGAGGAAGAUGGAAUUCCCGGUGUAGUGGUGAAAUGCGUAGAUAUCGGGAGGAACACCAGUGGCGAAAGCGAUCUUCUGGUCUGUUUCUGACACUCAGACGCGACAGCUAGGGUAGUAAACGGGAUUAGAGACCCCGGUAAUCCUAGCCGUAAACGAUGUGAACUUGGCGUUGGUGGGUUAAACUCCAUCAGUGCCGAAGCAAACGCGAUAAGUUCACCGCCUGGGGACUACGGCCGCAAGUUAAACUCAAAUGAAUUGACGG